UACGGCCACAUCAUUUUGAAACACCGGUUCCCGUACUAUCACCGAAGUUAAGAAACGUUGCGCCUGAUCAGUACCUAAAUGGGUGACUAUUUCGGAAUACCAAAUGCUGUAA